UACCACGUUGAAACGCCGAUUCUCGUACGAUCACCGAAGUUAAGCAACGUUGAGACUGGUCAGUACCCAGAUGGGUGACCGCUUGAGAAUACCAGGUGGUGUAA